AUUAAAAUGGUCUCGGAGUUAUGUUAAUCAAGUUCUAGAUAAAUUUAUGUUAAAAGGGUAUGAAGGUCGAUGUUUCAAAAGUGGAGGUGCAAAUGGGACUAAAGCUAGCACAAAUUCAUCUGAAUGCAUCGCACGCUCGAACAUACAACAGAGUCUCGAAAUUUGUUUAUUCCCAAAGGAAAGGGAAACAUCGAUAAAACCCGGGGAAAA
rnacentral:lncRNA from 1 species